ACGGGUGAGUAAUGCUUAUCUUACCUACCGUUUAGUGGGGUACCAUGGAAAGCCGUGGGGAAUGCCGCAUAUUCUGGCUUCGGUCAGGAAAGGAAGUCGUAAGGCUUCUGCUAAAUGACGGGGAUAAGUCGCAUCAGCGCGCUGGUGGGGUAAUGGCCCACCAAGGUAAUGGCAAUGACGCGUAGCCGGGCUGAGAGGCUGACCGGCCACAAGGGAACUGAAACACUGAUCCUACUCCUACGGGAGGCAGCAAUGGGGAAUCGUUGGCAAUGGGGGAAACCCUGACCACGCAAUGCUACGUGAAGGAUGAAGGUCUACGGAUUGUAAACUUCUUUACCAGAGGUUACACUUUGGCAAAAAGUCACGACUAACUACGUGCCAGCAGUCGCGGUAAGACGUAGGUGGCGAAUGUUAUCCGGAAUUAUUGGGCGUAAAGGGUGCGUAGAUGGCCUGAUAAGUUAGCAGUGGGAAAUCGAGGCUCAACCUCGUGGAAACUGGUAAUACUGUUAGGCUCGAGUGCAGGAGAGGUUAACGGAACUCCAUGUGGAGCGGUAAAAUGCGUAGAUAUAUGGAAGAACACCAAUAACGGCGAAGGCAGUUAACUAUUCUGUUGCUGACAUUGAGGCACGAAAGCGUGGGGAGCAAAACGGAUUAGAUACCCGUGUAGUCCACGCCCUAAACGAUGAGUGCUAGACAUUGGGAACUUGAUUCUCAGUAUCGCUAGGUAACCCGGUAAGCACUCCGCCUGAGUAGUACGCUCGCAAGAGUGAAACUCAAAGGAAUUGACGGGGACUCGCACAAGCAGUGGAGCAUGUGGUUUUAAUCCGAUACGACGCGUAGAACCUUACCAAGGCUUGACAUGUAAGGUAGCAAUACUAAACUAGGGCAACCUAGUUGAAUUACACAGGUGCUUGCAUGGCCAUCGUCAGUUCGUGCCGUGAGGUGUAUGGUUAAGUCCUAUAACGAACGCAACNCCUUAGGCUUAGUUACCAGCGGGUAAAGCCGGGCACUCUAGGUCGACUGCAGAUAUGUUUUACAUAUCCUUACUGAGUAAUCAGGAGGAAGGAAAGGAUGACGUCUGGUCGUC
rnacentral:rRNA from 1 species